rnacentral:rRNA from 1 species
CCUACGGGAGGCAGCAGUGAGGAAUAUUGGUCAAUGGUCGCGAGCCUGAACCAGCCAAGUAGCGUGAAGGAUGACUGCCCUACGGAUUGUAAACUUCUUUUAUCAAGGAAUAAAGUGAGGCACGUGUGCCUUUUUGUAUGUACUUUAUGAAUAAGCAUCGGCUAACUCCGUGCCAGCAGCCGCGGUAAUACGGAGGAUCCGAGCGUUAACCGGAAUUAUUGGGCGUAAAGGGCUCGGAGGCGGUAUGUUAAGUCAAGGGUGAAAUCCCCGGGCUCAACGUGGGAACUGCCUUUGAACCUGGCAGACUUGAGUGUGUGAGAGGAUAGUGGAAUGCCAGGUGUAGGAGUGAAAUGCAUAGAUAUCUGGAAGAACAUCAGUGGCGAAGGCAACUAGCUGGCACAUAACUGACGCUGAGGAACGAAAGCGUGGGUAGCGAACAGGAUUAGAUACCCUGGUAGUC